GCCCCGCUGGGACCGUGUCUUCUGAGGACAAAAGGCUGCGGCCAGCAGGCAGACUGGGUGGGGGUUGGGGGGGAACCGGCAGGCAGGCAGGCAGACCAGUAGCAGAGCUAGCUCUGGCCCCCUCCCAGACUGGUGGUGGCAUAAAGAUGGGGGUGGGAGUCUGUAGCGGGAGAAGCACCUACCAGGACCCCCAUCUGCCCACUACUUGGGCACCCCAAAGCUGUGUGCUGCCCACCUGGUGUUCCCCAGCAUCUCCAGCUCUACCAAGUGCACCCCUCUGGCACCUGCUUCCCCUGCUGCCAGCGAUUUAGACCAACCAGGCUGUAUCCACGGCAACAGAAGCAGGAGUGUCACUGGCUGCCAGAUCACUGAGGGUCCCACAAUGUGGCCUGGACUGUGGUUUAUCCUGCUUGAGAUCGAGUGAGUUCCCUUCCUGAAUUCCAAGACGGUCCUGCUAAGAGAACCCAGUUUCUACCCACAGGUAAUAUACUUUUGCUCACUCACCCUGGAAGAUGUGUCCCAGCUAGUGGGAGGAAGCUACUAUAGGAAUAGAGGAAGAUACCCAUAAUGUGUUUGGGACCUCCAGAUCAAUGACACAGUAGCCAGAGGUCCCUGUAUCUGGAAGUGCAGGAAAACCUGGUAUACGGAGAACAUGGAUUCUACUAGGGACACAUCUCCUAACUACUAAGCUCUCAACUUUA